rnacentral:misc_RNA from 1 species
UAGCAUAAUCAGUUAUAAAAUAUGAGUCUUCGGAAAUCAUUGCGCUCAAGCUCAAGCUUUAUUUCUCCAGAAAAUGUUGCAAGAUAUUUUUGUCAAAAAAAGAUUGACCCUGAUUUUCUUGUAAAAAAGUUUAUCAAUAGUGCUAUUGGUUUCGGAGUAUUUGUAACGAAAGAUGUAUUACCAGGAGAGUUUUUGUGUGAAUAUGAUGGUGUUUUGUUGGAAAAAGAACCUAAUAAUAGUGAAUCAAAUAACUAUUUGUUUUCAAACAUCAUUCAUUGUGGAAAAAAGUUUUACUUAGAUGGCUCUAAUAGCAAACAAAUGGGAGCAUUUAUAAAUGAUACUUCUGUUCAGUAUCAAAAUUGUAAAAUGAAAAAAGUUAUAUUGGAUAACAAACCUUGUCUUUGCCUUUUCUCCGUUAGUGAAAUAAAAUCUGGGACUGAGCUAAGAUACAAUUAUGGUGAUAAUGUGGAGAACUUAUGGUGGAGAACUAAUAAAAUAUUACUUCAACCUUAUAAUUUAUCUGAUAUUGAUUUAAAAAAAGAUUAUUCUCAGAUUCCAGUUAAUACAACUUCAUCCCUUGUUGAGGCUCUUCCAUCACCAGUCUCUGUUAGUUCGCUUUUGGGAAGUAACUCAUUUAUUGAUACUGUUGGUGUUUUGUCAAAAACUUGUGCUGUAUCUAUUCCAGUAAAUACAACUUCAUACCUUGAUGAGAUUCUUCCGUCACCAGCCUCUGUUAAUUCGUUAUUGGGAAGUAACUCAUUUAUAAAACAUGAUACUGUUGGUGCUUUGUCCAAAACUUGUGCUAUUUCGAUACCAGUAGUAACAUCUUCUUUGUUUGAUGAAAUUUUAUCUUCGCCUUUAUCAGUUGAUUCUUAUUUGCGAAGUAAUUUAAAUGUAGAACCGAGAAGAGAAGAGAUUUUGUCAAAAAGUUGUGUCACACCUAUUCCAGUAAAUACAACUUCAUACCUUGAUGAGAUUCUUCCGUCACCAGCCUCUGUUAAUUCGUUAUUGGGAAGUAACUCAUUUAUAAAACAUGAUACUGUUGGUGCUUUGUCCAAAACUUGUGCUAUUUCGAUACCAGUAGUAACAUCUUCUUUGUUUGAUGAAAUUUUAUCUUCGCCUUUAUCAGUUGAUUCUUAUUUGCGAAGUAAUUUAAAUGUAGAACCAAGAAGAGAAGAGAUUUUGUCAAAAAGUUGUGUCACACCUAUUCCAGUAAAUACAACUUCAUACCUUGAUGAGAUUCUUCCGUCACCAGCCUCUGUUAAUUCGUUAUUGGGAAGUAACUCAUUUAUAAAACAUGAUACUGUUGGUGCUUUGUCCAAAACUUGUGCUAUUUCGAUACCAGUAGUAACAUCUUCUUUGUUUGAUGAAAUUUUAUCUUCGCCUUUAUCAGUUGAUUCUUAUUUGCGAAGUAAUUUAAAUGUAGAAACAAGAAGAGAAGAGAUUUUGUCAAAAAGUUGUGUCACACCUAUUCCAGUUAAUACAACUUCAUCUCUUGCUGAGGUUCUUCCAUCACCAGUCUCUGUUAGUUCGCUUGUUCCAUUAAAUAAAACUCCUAUGGUCAUUGAUGAUUUUUUUUCCUCCUUAGUUACUAUUGAUUGUAAUAACUUAGACCAGCAAAAAUGUAACAUUGUUUCUGAUCAUCUUGAAAGUAUUGAUUUUGUUGACUUUACUCGACUUGAUGACCCUAAUAAAUGUUUUAAAAGGUUUUAGGUUUGACGAUUAACAAUUUUUAUGCAAUUAUAAUUCUUCCGAUUUAAAAAUAUUAAUAUGUCAAUGGAAGCUAAAGUAAGUUGGUUUAUAAUGUAAGUAUGAAAUUUUUUUUUAAUCAAAAAUUAUAAAAUGGUAAAGUUGCAGAAUUAUGUAAUAAUUUUUUUAUAUAGUGCAAAGGUCAAUUUUUUUGAAGGUUUUUUUUUUUUUUUUUGAGACAUUUCUUGAUUUAAAGUGAUUAUUAUUUUUUUAAAUAACCUUGCUUCAUUUUUUCAUAUAUAGGUCACCCAGCUUGAACUAGAUUUAAAAAACUUUUUUUUGAUAUAAUAAGGACCCUUUCAAUAAUCAAAACCUGGUAGCAACUUUUAAAGAAUUUUAAAAAGUCAGGGUUUAAAAGAAUUUUAAAAUCUUUAUGGUUCAUAAAUCGUAGGACAGUCAUGUUGGAAUAAUAUUAGGAAACGUUAAUAUAUCUUUUUUUUUACAGGGUAAUUUUUUCAAUAAUAGUUACAAUAAUAGGUGACAAGCAAAAGAAAUCAAGUACCAUCUUAACGUAAGUAAUUAAUUUUUGUUAGAUUUUUAUUGGUUAAACGUGAUGAAAUUCAGCACUCUCUAAUUGCUAAUUUCUCAAAAAUUACUUUGCAGAUUCUUUUAAUUUUUUUGACACAAUGAAGCUAAUUACUUAUUUCAACAAUUUUUUAAAGUUUUUAUUGGAUGAUUAGAAAAAAAUCUAAUAUUUUUGCAAGUACUUGACAUCCUCUGCUGGAAUUUGCUUGGAGUUACUUCCUUGGGUACAGAUUCGACACCAUUUUGUUUGUACCAUUUUAGAGACUUCUUGAAGUAGUGGAUUGUAACCUAAUCAUGUCAAAAUAUUGUGUAUCAUGCUUUUUAAAAAUGGCAAAAAAUAUUUCUGUAAAUAUUUUUUUAUAUAUGCAAACCUGUGUUCAAAGUUUUACGAGUAAUGUGAAGUGUACUUUUUAAACCACAGGUUGCAAUAUAAGGAAUUUGAAAGCAAAUUUAUCAGUUUAAAUAUACUUGAAUUUUUUGGCAACAUAUCUACCUUUCAAUUUAUAAAGAUACUGCUGAUCUGGGCAGUUAUAUAUAAUCCUUUUUGCAAUAGUUUUCAUAAUCUUUAAUUAUGCACAACUUUUCUUGGUUUAAAAGUUUAUAUAGCUUUUUAGAAUAACGAAUUGCUUUAAUUUCUCCAAUUUUUUUUUCCAUUUCCAGCUUCCCUUUCAAUAGAAUGAGUUAGUAGUUUUUAAGUAAUUUCAUAGUGUUCAACUGAUUAUAUAUUUUUUUCUUUAAAAGGUAAUUUUAGAAUGUUUUAAAGCUUAAGGUUGGGUGAAUGAGUGGCAGAAAUAUUACAGCUAUAAAUUCUAAGAGAGAGAGAAAGAGGGAACAUGAGGCUUGCUACUAUAUGCUGUUUCCUAGAAUAAAAACAACAAUCAUUGUCAAUUGAAGUUAAAGUAAGUUGGUUGUAAUGUAAGUUUUGUAAUUUUUUAAAUUAUUUUCAUUUUUUGUUUUGAAUCAAAAAAUCUAAAUACUGGGCUGGUAACAACUCUUAAAUAAUUUUGAUUUAAUUCUAAUAAUCUAAUUUUAUUUUUGUUUACAACAAUUUAAGAUGUGUCCACCUUAAUCAUAGAAAAGCAGGUCUAAAAACCAGAAUAUUUUUAAGGUUCAUAAAUCAAAAGAACAAUCAUGUAAGAAACAUUAACAAAUCUUUUUUUUUUACAGAGUAAUUUUUUUAGAGUCAAAAAUAGGCUAAACUGAUUUAAGAUAUUUUUCUUAGAGUACUGUUAAAUGCUAAUGCCAUUAUAGUUUUAUUUGGAAUAGUUACAAAAAUAGGUGACAAGCAAAAGGAAUCAAGUACCAUCACAAAGCAAGUAAUUGGUUUUUGUUAGAUUUUUAUUUGUUAAGCAUGAUGGAAUUCAAUGCCUUCUAAUUGUUUAUUACCCAAAAAUUACUUUACUAAAUAUAUUAUUUACUUCCAUAAUUUUUUACAAAUUUUAUUAGACGCUUACAUAAAAACCCAACAUUUUUUAAGAGAACUUGACAUUAUAUGCCGGAUCUUGCUUUGUGUUACUUUCUUGAAAUGAAUUUGACACCAAUUUGUUCAUACCAUAAUAGAGACUUCUUGAAGUUGUGGAUCGUAAAUAAAUCAUGCCAAUAUAUUGUGGGUUUAAAAACAUGUUUUUUAAUAAAUGCAAAAGGCAUUUAUUUAAUAUUUUUAUAUAUACAAAUCUGUUUGUAUUUAAAAAAAAAAAGCAUUCAUAUCAAUAAAACAAAAAUAAAAAAAGGAAAUAUUUAAAAACAGUAUACAAAGUAUAAAUACUAAAAACACAUCAUUAAUUGAAAAAACUUUCUAGUCAGGAUUUUUGCAGUUUUGAAAAAAAUGAUAAAACUAUAUUCAAAAUCGCAGUCUGUCAUACAAGGAAGAGCAAAUUUCUUAGUUUAAAUAUAAUACUGUUGGCCUGGCAAUUGUAGAUAAUCUUUUUUGCAAUAAUUUUCAUUGUUUUCAAUUAUGCAUAAAUUUUCUUGGUUAAAAAGUUUAUAUAGCUUUUUUGAAGAUAAUUAAAUCAAUAAACUACUAUGAGAAUUUAUGAAAAUUAAAUACUAAAUUUUUCAAGUAAAAAACUUUCUACAUAACAUGUUGUGGUUUUAAAAAAAUAUUUUAAUCUUCCUAAAUAAUUUCAAUGUUUUUGAAAUGACAAGUUUCUUUAAUUCAUCACUGAAUUGAUUUGAAGUUUUUUUAUGAUAUACUUUAUAUUCUUGAGAUCUAAGUACUUUUCCUUUUAUAAUUAGCCUACUUUUAAAUUUUUUUUUUAAGAUCUCUCCUUAAUUGACAUGAUUUUGUUUUUACGGAGCGUAUGUUAGAUUUUGGUCUAUAUUUAUCUUUAUAUCUUUCCUUUUUUCCAUCUCCAGCUUCACUUAACCAAUGCUUACUAUUCCAAUCAAACAGAAACACAUUAGCUUCUAUAUGCCAAAAAAUAAUUUUUUCAAGGGUAUUUAAGUAAUUAACAAUUUAUAGGGUGCUGAAUUUCAUUGUA